GACGUAGGAGGCGAGCGUUGUCCGGAUUCAUUGGGCGUAAAGAGCACGCAGGCGGUUUGGCAAGUCGGAUGUGAAAACCCGAAGCUCAACUUCGGGCCUGCAUCCGAAACUGCCCGACUAGAGGUAGGUAGGGGAGAUCGGAAUUCCUGGUGUAGCGGUGAAAUGCGCAGAUAUCAGGAAGAACACCCGUGGCGAAGGCGGUUCUCUGGGACGGUACUGACGCUGAGACGCGAAAGCGUGGGGAGCGAACAGG
rnacentral:rRNA from 1 species